AUCGAACGCUGGCGGCAGGCCUAACACAUGCAAGUCGAACGAAUGGCGGACGGGUGAGUAAUGUCUGGAAAACUGCCUGAUGGAGCGGGAUAACUACUGGAAACGGUAUCUGAUACCGGAUACCAUCGGCUGUGUACAGGUGGGAUUAGCUAGUGGGCAGGGUAAAGGCUCACCUAGGCGACGAUCCCUAGCUGGUAUGAGAGGAUGACCGGCCACACUGGAACUGAGACACGGUCCAGACUCCUACGGGAGGCAGCAGUGGGGAAUAUUGCACAAUGGGCGCAAGCCUGAUACAGCCAUGCCGCGUGUAUGAAGAAGGCCUUCGGGUUGUAAAGUACUUUCAGCGGGGAGGCGUUACCCGCAGAAGAAGCACCGGCUAACUCCGUGCCAGCAGCCGCGGUAAUAC
rnacentral:rRNA from 1 species